rnacentral:lncRNA from 1 species
AUUUCUUCUUCUUCUUCUUUUUAUGUUUUUUGGGGAUAAGGUAAUACUUUUGUUGCAAAACAUUUCUAAUUUUGAAGAAAAUUUAUUAUCUUAGGCGACACCAUUAAAAAAGCAGUUUAGCUUUUGAAAUCAACUAAACAGUUUACUUUGCAAAAUUUGAACUACAUGUCAAGAUUUGAAACUGAAAUAACAAUCCCAGCAAGACCUUCCAUGCUUCUUUGAUAUUUAAAACAGAAAGAAUCCAUCAAUCCUAGCUUAGGGGCUCCUCUUUGCACAGAAAAGGAACAAUUUUGCAAAAGUAUGAAUACUUCUUUGAGAAUGCAAAGGUAUGUAAGUUACCUGGAAAAGAAGUAUCACAAGGAAAAUGAGUGACCCUACUGCCAUUGCACUGCCAUAGUAAAAUCCUAGAGACUUGCUAAGGAAGGAUGCCAGAGUAAUUAACAAUAUCCCCAGUACCAGAAAAAUAACAUGAUAGAAACAAAUUCUGCAAAUAAAGAAUAUUAAGGUUACUUAAUUGAGUUAAUGCCAAAAGCAAUAAAACUACAAAAAGAAGUAAUUUCAGAUUGAUCCAGGGAAAACAAACCUUCAUCCAGCGAGACCUGAAGAGUUUGCUUAGCCGAG